rnacentral:rRNA from 1 species
GUGUCCGCUCUUGUUGAUCGGUGGAGGCCAGAGACCCACAGUUUCCAUCUUCGGACCGGGGAGAUGACCGUGACGCUCGAGGAUGUCUCGUUGAUCACCGGUCUUGCUAUCGACGGGAGGCCUCUAUGUGUGAGCACCGAUUCUGAUGGGUGGCGCGAGCAGAUGAUUGCUCUUAUCGGUAUGGCUCCUACCGAGGCUGAGGAUGAUGUAGAGGAGGGAGAAGAGAAGAAGAAGAGGGAAAGGAAGGCAGCUGGAGCUGCUUUCACGUGGAUUCAAAAUAACUUUGCGACGUGCCCUCCGGAUGCAACUGAUGAUGUGAUCCAGACACAUGCUCGUGUGUAUAUGUGGUACAUUGUGUCGAGGACUUUGUUUCCUGACUCCACUGGCAAGAACGCUCCAUGGAUGUGGCUGAAGGCGUUGACCGUCUUCGAUAGCAAAUGGAGCUGGGGUUCAGCGACUCUUGCCUACUUGUACCGAUAG